rnacentral:misc_RNA from 1 species
UGUCAUCAAAUUGCUCUAAAUAAAUAUGCAUGAGAUACAUUCUGAAGUUGGUAGACAAUUCUAAUGCAUUAAAUGCCAUUAUUUAACUAUAAAUGCCAUUAUUUAACUAUAUGCAUUAGAUACUUACCUGGUAUUUUAUUAACUAGUAACCUGUUGUGAUUUUGUUUAUAGCAUUAUCUGCAGAGUCCAUAAUCAAAAAAUUUAUGCAUAAUUCUAGGAAAAGCAUGCUUUAGGAUACUUGUGGGUAACAUUUUCUGUUUUGCUGGCAUAUUGAUAAAUGUAACAUGAGUAUAUAUGAUGCUUAAACUUCAGAGUUAAUGGACCUUGUGAAUUUAUAAUAGAUGUCACUGCCUUAAAGUAAAAGAAGAUGGAUUCUGGACCCACUUCAUCAGAGUUUGGCCACAUGUUUUUUUGCAGUCAUAUGAGAUUUUCUUGUUUGUUCCAUUUAAGUCCCAUUUUUGAAAGCCCAUAUUCCACAAAAAAAA